GCUGCAUAAAAGAGCUUUGCAAGAGACUGCUCCUUGGGAGAAAAGUAAUUGUUGUAUUUGGAUGUAGAUUUUGGUUAGUUUUGGAAGUGCAGAAGGAGGGGUUUAGGUAGGGGACGGGGAAUUUCUCCUCUAAGGCCCUCUGUAGGAGGAAGAGAGGCAAAGGCUUCAGGCAUGCAUCUGAUGAAAGCUCUGAGAUAGAAUGAUCUGACUGUCUAACAUUGCUUCCUGUGCCACAGGCAGAUUGAUAGUAUGGUGUAGGACUAAGAGAAUUUCGGCUACUAUGGAUCCAGAACCUGUGAUUCCACUUGCUGCAUGUAACCAACCAAUUUUUGCAGAUAUAUUCAAGCCAUUACAGCCCUGUAUCACAACCAAACUGCCCAGUGGAUCACUUUUCCGCUUUGAAAAUUCUGCAUAUGAGAGUGAGCAUACCACUGCAUACUUAAAGGAGGAUUAUGCAGUUGCAGUUGAAAGAAAAACUGCAGAUUGGUUUUGCUUCUCUAGAUCAACCUCUGACUAAUUUCGCAGCUAGAAGCUUCAAACAAUUACAACACUAGCCUUGGUUAUCAAGAUCUUACUUGUUCAAUUUUCUAGAUAUCAGCAAAGGAACAUGAUUGAUACAUGGAGUGUCAGAUUUGCCUGUUAGGAAAUCCAUUUUCCCCUUCUGUUUUAUUACAAGACCAUUCUGUUGUUUUUAUGCCUAUCAAACAUCUUUUGCAGGGUCUUGGCAGGAAUAUGCUUUUAUUCCUGGAGUAAAUUUACCACUGUUGGGCAGUAAAUUUUGAAAAUCUCCCCACAAGGUGAUUUAUCACAAAUUGCUUUCCGCUUAAUUUAGCAACUGUUUUGUCCACAAACUCAUUUUGUUUAAAUGCAAUAAAAUAAUAGAUUCUCUCCAAAUAGCAACAGUGAUCACAAAAGUUAUUAGGUUAUCACAAACCUGUUUUAUUCUGUGUUAAUAACAAUCAUUGUUAGACUAUUACAUAUGUGAUGAUGUGUCCAAACAAUUUCUGCAUUAAAAGGGAGUUUCAAGGAC
rnacentral:lncRNA from 11 species